GGAUUGAGUUCUCGCGAGGUCUGGGCGUUGGCGUCAAUAAAGAGCGCGAACGCAGGUCGCUUGACGUGUGUUGAGCGGCUGAUGGUUGGUUGGUGCUCUUCGGCUCUGAAGGAGAGGGAAGGAGUCGGGAGAAGAGGCGUGAAAGAACGGGAUUCUCUAAUCCUUUUGGAUAAUGUGAUACUGUUGUAUCUGAAGAGUGAAGAGGAAGGUCUUACAGGUGUCUAAACGAGAUCCUUUCUACUGUAGUCUGAGUAUACAGGCUGGGGUCCGGGAUGAUGGAGAAUGCCUGUUAAUUGUGUGAUAGAGAGGCAAAAGCACCGGCUUUGGUGUCACCGGACUUGUAUUCAGAUCCUGGCAAUGUCGCUUACUUGUAUGAACUUAACCUUUCUGGGCCUCAGUUUCCGCAUUUGUCAAAUGAAGGCGUUGGAUUAGGUGACCUCCUUAGGGUCUUUCAGUUUUAAAUCUAUGCUCCCAUGGUAUGCACUGCAAUCUUACCUGUUUUUGAAGACAGCUUCCCCCCACUUCUUCCAAUGAAUUAUCACUGUCAAAAGGGUCACUUCUUCAAGCGGAUUUGUAAUGGCUUUAACUUAAAAAAUUAGAACAUCCCAGUUCUUAUAUCGCUGUGUAUUUUAUCUUCUUUAUUUUUUAAAAAUCCCUUCUAUCCCCAGGAGUAUUUAUUCAGCAUCUUUCCAUCCUCACCUGAGUGUUUUUCCAAGGUUACCCCUCCCUAGAAUUCCCUCUUUGGUCUGAUGUCCCCUGUUACUCUGCUAUUCACACAAUUGAUCUCAUUUCUUCUGAGAAACCUUUCUUAUCAAGAAGGAAAAUUGAGCUGCUAUACCACUCCUCAGAUUUGUUUUUCAGUCAACACAUUAGGUCUGGGGUAGGGAGCCUGGCCUCAAGGGGAAGGUUUCCCCACCCCUGCUUUAGGUCCUUCAAUUAAUAUAAAUCCUAAUUUUUGUAUAUUCAGUGUGCAUUGAAGUGUAUUCCUGUAGAUAGUAUGGCAUGUUUAAAUCUUGAACCAUCUUUUUUUUCUUCGUUAGCUUUCUCCUACCCCUCUCUGCCCACCCCACACGCCUCCCCACAUAAUCCAGCACUGCUAGCCGCCUUCUAGCACCUAGUGUGCUCUGGGAAUAUAGACUUAUUUUAAUAUUAGCCUAAGGAAAAGUACUGUCAUUUACAUAACUUAUUAACUCCUACAUUCCCAGAAAAGCUUUGCCUAACUAGUGAAUAAAAUUGUGAAUAUAAUGAGAUUAUUCUGUUUGAUGUUCUCUUUACACUUCCUUCAUCUGUUUAGAUAUAUAAUAGUUUAUCAAGUAUCUGCUUUGAGGGGCAACUGAAAUGGCUGUGCAAGUGCUGCUGAAGUAGUGAGCUUAAUUCUAUAAAUUGCAUACAAAAUCAGUGUCAAUACUUUAUAAUCACACUUUAAAAUAUGUGCCCUAAAUAUAUGCCUAUAAAAUUAUGACUUCCUACUUGGUGGUUCUGCUGUGUCAGCCUGACAUGACUGAACAUAAAUUAUCCCCACCCCCACCCCCAGUUCUUGAUAUUGGUGCAUAUGACAAAAUUCUGAAUUGAAAAAAGAAAGCAUUCUUCAUCCUAUUUAUAUAUGCUGUUAGCCUUAAACAGUUGCUUUAUGUUGCUGGUUCGUGAAUGUCUUUGUGGUUUGUUUUCCUUCCCAAAUGAAUAAAUUAAUUUGCUCUUUCUGUUA